GGAGUUAGCCGGUGCUUCUUCUGUGAGUGAUGUCCUUCCUGCCGGUUAUUGACCCGCAGGCCUUCUUCCUCACUGAAAGUGCUUUACAACCCGAAGGCCUUCUUCACACACGCGGCAUGGCUGGAUCAGGGUUGCCCCCAUUGUCCAAUAUUCCCCACUGCUGCCUCCCGUAGGAGUCUGGGCCGUGUCUCAGUCCCAGUGUGGCUGAUCAUCCUCUCAGACCAGCUACGGAUCGUCGCCUUGGUGAGCCGUUACCUCACCAACCAGCUAAUCCGACAUAGGCUCAUCCGAUAGAGCGAGGCCCGAAGGUCCCCCGCUUUCCCCCGUAGGGCGUAUGCGGUAUUAGCCUGGGUUUCCCCAGGUUAUCCCCCACUACCGGGCAGAUUCCUAUGCAUUACUCACCCGUCCGCCGCUCGCCACCAGGGAGCAAGCUCCCCGUGCUGCCGCUCGACUUGCAUGUGUUAGGCCUGCCGCCAGCGUUCAAUCUGAGCCAGAAUCAAACUCUGA
rnacentral:rRNA from 1 species